UGCGGACCACCUAUGUGAAGCUUUGCUCAUUAUUCACCCACAGACAGCCUGUGUCCAUCUGUAAGGGCAGUUGUGACCAAGGCAUUACCUUGUAAUACUAAAGCAUGCAUCCAUUCAGUUUCAUAUAAAAAAAAUAAAAACAAACAAAUAAAAACAAAAAACUUUUAAUAAACACAACUGAAAGUCUAAUCUUAGCGUCAUGUUUUCUCAGUAUUAAAAGAAGCAUCUGCAGUGCUCUUGAUUUGAUUUUGCCCUGCUGAAAUACACGCAUUUUGAAAAUACUGAAGAGUCAGCAUAUUUUAAGGAAACAUAAUUGAAAUUACACAAUGUUAUUGAUGGAGAAAAUGACUAGAUGUGACUGCUACAACACAAAUGCAACCAGAGGAGCUUCCUUUACUGUUUUAACACUAAAAAUAAUUGUUUUCAUGUAUAAUUUGAUUCUUUAACAAGUCUUCCACGGAUGAAGAGUUUGUGAUUUCACAUUUCAAUAUUAAUCUCAAACUUUUAUCAUAUCACAAACUCACAAUAACGUGUAUUCCGAAAUCAGCAUCAGCCGUGCUUUAGAUGGAGGAUUGUUUCACCGGCUUGCUCCUUGCAGGGCCAAUAAUGCAAACUUUUUUGAUUGAAACUGAAUAAAAGUCUUAGGUGUGGCGUAGCCUGUGUUUUAGACCUGUCCACAUGUUUCGUUUGCACCAUUCCUUUAGAAGACUUAGGACAGAAACAAGAACAUGGACUACUUUACAUCAAAAUAGGGUGUCAAUGGCUGCUCCAUCCAUGGGUCUGUUAGGAUUCAUACUGAUACAUGCUGCCACUGCCACCACUCUUCCUUUUUUGCACGAACAAAGACAGGUGGGAGAACUGAAGCUACAACUUGAGACACCACAGGCCAGCAGGAAUCAGAACUCACAAGGGCGCCUUUCACGACUUCUCAGCUGCUGUCAGACUGGUGAACGUGACAUUAAACAGGGCAAGACCCACCCCACUUCACACUCUCACUGGACGCACACUCAUGCACACAAACUGUCACUCUAUCAGGCUAUGAGUACAAUUGUAUGUUAUGUACUAUUUUUUCCACGCUGCUGUUUAUCAGAUUGUUUUUAUUAAAACGUUUGCAAUUUUUUCUGCUUGUGAUUCAUUUGCUGAAUUUUUCUGUUUUUUAAACUAUUGCAGUUUUUGCUCACACAAUCCAAACUUGAAAAUACUGAAUAAAACGCAUAGUAUUUUAAACACUGGAAUGUACUUGAGGAAACAUCAUUCUAUUCUAUUCUAUUCUAUUCUAUUCUAUUCUGUUCUAUUCUACAUGACUGUUUUAUGGAUUUUCUCGAGCUGGUAUCUUUUCAAAACACAAAGAAAAUAUUAUCCAUUCACUGUUUAAGUCUAACUUGUUGUUUGACAUGCAUGAUUUAUUAGCAGUAGUUUAAUUUAAACACCAGGAAUAUGAACAUAAUGUAAUGAGGAACAAUGGACAGAUUACAUCAGAAAGUCUAUAAGGGAAAUCAGUAACAAGCAGGAGCUAGAUUAAAACAUAGUAAAAUGGUGAUAUCAAACAGAGGAAGUCUGGUUGUAAUCCAUCAGCUGCCAGGCUAGUUUGUUCUGCCUUUUUAGCCAUUUGGGAUUUACUGUGAUUGAGGGAAGUCAAUUUCUGCAGAGAUGGUGCUGACAGCAGAAUGAGACUACCUUUCAUUUUCUCUGGGUUUAAAAAAAUACGAAAAUCUUGCUGAAGGACAUUAAAAAAUAGGCUGGAAUGUUUUAGUUGAGAUUUGUAUUAAAACCCUGCAAAGGUUAAAAUGGAUAUAUUUUUGACCAAAUAGAAUAAGUACUAAACGACACAAGGUAGUAGAAAAAAUACUCCAGUGUUAAAAAUAAUAUGUGUAGCAAUAAUUACUGGUUUAAUGUGAUCAUGUGUUCUAUGAUAAACAAUGACUAUUACAUAAUGGUUACCGUUAAUGUUUACUAAAAUCGUGAAUGAUUGUUUGCUUAAGAUAAUCCAUCAUUACAAGGUACUGGAUUUUGUUACUUGAAAAGAAUACAUUGGAUCAGAACUGGAUUACAAAAACUGUAAAACUAUCAAAUGAGUUAACUCCGUAGGGGUGGGAUUAUAUAAACUUGCUUCUUUCCACUCUUUUUCAAGCAAUAAAUCAAGCUCUACUUAACUUUAGUUAAUGAUCACUGUAUUUAAUUAAGCAAAUGUGAUUUAAGUGACUUUUUGUUUUGUUUUAUUUUCUGUCUUUUUAAUCUAUGCAUUUCAACAUUUCUGUAAUGAGUUUGAUAAAUAUGUGUAAAUUCUUUAUUGCUUUGACUACAAUGCUUGAAAUAAAUCAAUACAUCAAAUCAUGUGGUACACUUAAUUAAAUGUUUUCAAGGUAUA
ensembl:lncRNA